AUUGAACGCUGGCGGCGUGCUUAACACAUGCAAGUCGUGCGGUAACAGGCGUAGCAAUACGUGCUGACGAGCGGCGAACGGGUGCGUAAUACAUGGGAAUCUGCCCUUUAGUGGGGAAUAACCCGGCGAAAGCCGGGCUAAUGCCGCAUAAGAUCUUCGGAUGAAAGCGGGGAUCGUAAGACCUCGCGCUGAUGGAUGAGCCCAUGUCGGAUUAGCAGUUGGUGAGGUAACGGCUCACCAAGGCGACGAUCCGUAGCUGGUCUGAGAGGACGGCCAGCCACACUGGGACUGAGACACGGCCCAGACUCCUACGGGAGGCAGCAGUGGGGAAUAUUGGACAAUGGGCGAAAGCCUGAUCCAGCGACGCCGCGUGUGUGAAGAAGGCCU
rnacentral:rRNA from 1 species